CUCAGCUAAGAGCAUCGAGGGGGCGCCGAGAGGGCAGGGGCGGGGACAGGCGGUGGCUCGCCUCGCGGCGGACCGCCAGCUCGAUCCCAAGAUCCAACUACGAGCUUUUUAACUGCAGCAACUUUAAGAUACGCUAUUGGAGCUGGAAUUACCGCGGCUGCUGGCACCAGACUUGCCCUCCAAUCGAUCCUCGCGAAAAGGAUUUAAAGUGUGCAGACCGGAAGAGU